UGAAACCGUGUACGUACAAGCAGUGGGAGCCUCUUUUAUGGGGUGACUGCGUACCUUUUGUAUAAUGGGUCAGCGACUUAUAUUCUGUAGCAAGGUUAACCGAAUAGGGGAGCCGAAGGGAAACCGAGUCUUAACUGGGCGUUAAGUUGCAGGGUAUAGACCCGAAACCCGGUGAUCUAGCCAUGGGCAGGUUGAAGGUUGGGUAACACUAACUGGAGGACCGAACCGACUAAUGUUGAAAAAUUAGCGGAUGACUUGUGGCUGGGGGUGAAAGGCCAAUCAAACCGGGAGAUAGCUGGUUCUCCCCGAAAGCUAUUUAGGUAGCGCCUCGUGAAUUCAUCUCCGGGGGUAGAGCACUGUUUCGGCAAGGGGGUCAUCCCGACUUACCAACCCGAUGCAAACUGCGAAUACCGGAGAAUGUUAUCACGGGAGACACACGGCGGGUGCUAACGUCCGUCGUGAAGAGGGAAACAACCCAGACCGCCAGCUAAGGUCCCAAAGUCAUGGUUAAGUGGGAAACGAUGUGGGAAGGCCCAGACAGCCAGGAUGUUGGCUUAGAAGCAGCCAUCAUUUAAAGAAAGCGUAAUAGCUCACUGGUCGAGUCGGCCUGCGCGGAAGAUGUAACGGGGCUAAACCAUG
rnacentral:rRNA from 1 species